CCAAUCGAACACGGAGAUAGCUGGUUCUCCUCGAAAUGCAUUUAGGUGCAGCGUUGUUUGUUUACCGUCGGAGGUAGAGCACUGAAUGGGCGAUGGGCCUUCCCGGGUUACUGACCUCAAUCAAACUCCGAAUGCCGACGGUCAAAGAGCAGCAGUGAGACAGUGGGGGAUAAGCUUCAUUGUCGAAAGGGAAACAGCCCAGACCUACUGCUAAGUUCCCUAAGUGCCGGCUAAG
rnacentral:rRNA from 1 species